rnacentral:rRNA from 1 species
GAUGAACGCUAGCGGCAGGCUUAACACAUGCAAGUCGAGGGGUAUUGGUUUUCGGACCAAGAGACCGGCGCACGGGUGCGUAACGCGUAUGCAAUCUACCUUUCACAGAGGGAUAGCCCAGAGAAAUUUGGAUUAAUACCUCAUAGUAUAGCAGUUUCGCAUGAAACCACUAUUAAAGUCACAACGGUGAAAGAUGAGCAUGCGUCCCAUUAGCUAGUUGGUAAGGUAACGGCUUACCAAGGCAACGAUGGGUAGGGGUCCUGAGAGGGAGAUCCCCCANACUGGUACUGAGACACGGACCAGACUCCUACGGGAGGCAGCAGUGAGGAAUAUUGGUCAAUGGACGCAAGUCUGAACCAGCCAUGCCGCGUGCAGGAUGACGGUCCUAUGGAUUGUAAACUGCUUUUANACAGGAAGAAACCCUCCC